GGCAGGCUGAGAAAGCAGGGCAGUAUAUAAGCCUUGCUGUUUUCUAAGUGAAGACAGGCUGGGAAAGAAACAAGUUGUGCUGUUGGGGGUGUCCUGAAAUUUAUCGGUAUGAGAGAUUACUGCAAUAGCAGAGCUUUUAAGAGAAUGAAACAGUCACCAACCAAGAAUCAUAGGGCCAAAUCCUGAGAGGGGCCUAGGGACCUGUGAUCUUUGUUCAGGCCCAAUUCAAUGUCUACAGAAAUCAAUGAUUUGGAUCAGGCCCUCUAACUAUUGUCAGGACAUCCAUAAUAUCUGGAUGGAAGUUUUUUUAUGUUUUGUUUACAACCUGAA